UGGUAUAGAGGUUGGCACACUGAUAGAUUGUAGUCAAUCGUACCACUACAGCACACUUCACAUAAUAGAGGCGGCUUCCAGGAUCAGUCUUGUGCAGUAGCUUUGCUACAACAAUGUCCAGAGAUUUCACAUCAGGGCGCCAACGUGAGCUCCCAACGGACAAAAGGGAGGCGAGAGAGGCCUUGUACUACGCAGCUUCUGCGGUAAUGGCUGACAUUCCAGUAUUGAUGGAAGAGAUGGCUGAUAGUGUGAACGCAGUGAACAGAAAAAUGUAUGCUGUCAACGAGCUUUUGCGAGCAGUUUCCCAACAUUAUGUGCAACCUAAUGGGAGUCAAAAUACAAAACCCUAGAUAAUUGACAGAAGAUUCUAUAUUUUAAUUUUGUUGCUUGGCAACCAAUUUCUGUGUAUCGAAUUCUAAGAGUAAUUAAAGAAAGUGCUGUAAAUCA